rnacentral:rRNA from 1 species
UACGUACGAGGCAAGCGUUAUCCGGAAUUACUGGGCGUAAAGCGUGCGCAGGCGGUUUUGUAAGACUGUCGUGAAAUCCCCGGGCUCAACCUGGGAAUGGCGAUGGUGACUGCAAGGCUAGAGUUUGGCAGAGGGGGGUAGAAUUCCACGUGUAGCAGUGAAAUGCGUAGAUAUGUGGAGGAACACCGAUGGCGAAGGCAGCCCCCUGGGUCAAAACUGACGCUCAUGCACGAAAGCGUGGGGAGCAAACAGG